UUUAAUUCAGAACUAUAUCUUUGGUGAACAUGGUAUUCAGAUUCAAAUGUGUUUUGCAAGUAUGUAUGUCUCAUGCUUGUAAGCUGAAGACUAGCAGUCUUAAAGACUGCAAUGUAUGCAGUGUUUAAAAUAUGGUAACUGAGAGCAGAGCUAAAAAUGCAUAGGCUGACAUUUGGAAGGAAUGAAGUUACCACACCUGUCAAACAUAAAAACAUGCUAAAAACAACUACAUGGGAGGGGUUUCAACUUUUAGAGAACUGUAUAAUAGGUUGCAUUCUGAAAAAAACUCUUUAGUUGCCUGGCCACCAACUCGGCCUUAUUGUUGUAUGCAAUAAAGUCAUCUUUUGGCAAUGGAACCCUCUGUUGAAAAUUAUUUUUCAUAAUCACUAAAAAAAUCCACAACAUUUGGCGACGAGGAUGGGAUUGGAAAGGAGCAUGGGGGUGGAUGACCGCUGUGGGCUAAGUUUGGAUGAGCGGCAUACACAGGACCAGGUAAGCAGUUUUUGCUUAUUUACUGGUGUACUGUUGUGUUGCUCAUCUGGGUUGGCUCAUGGUGGAAAGACGUUCACAAUGCUCUUCCAACAUAAGAACUAAGAUUAAUACAAGUUAAAAAGGGUUCCAUUUCCAAGGAUUUUGAUGCAUGGUGUGAUAUUUUUAUGAUGAAGAAGGGAUUAAAACAGCCUGAGCUCAAGGUGUAAUCUGUGGUUUUGCUAAGUAAGCCUUGUUUUAGCAUUAACCUGGAACAGAUUGAUAAAUUGCUAAGGGGCAAUAAAAAGUUAAAUUGCUGAGGGGCAAUGAAAUAUAUAAUCUGUGUUUAUUUAAACAUAAAAGGCCUUUGACGAAGGGCCUUUGACGAAUCAAAUAGACUGUAACAGAUUAUAAAAAAUGCUUAUUGCAAGAGGGCUAUUGAUUAGAUGUAAUAAGCUGAUACACUGUAAAUGAAUAAUUUGUAUAAAGAAAAAGUAACGUGGUUUUGGAAGCAAAUCCAUGUUUCAAUUUGUUAUUUUAAGUAUUUAAGCAUAUGUUGAUUUGUCAUCAAUACUGCAUUUUAUUUACAGUGUAUGAAAAAAAUAAGAAAAAAUUAAAUAAUCUGUGUUUAUUCUGUAAGAGGGCCUUGACGGAUACAGGUAGACUGGAACAGACUAUUAAAAAUGCUUAUGGAAUAAGCGGAUACACUGUAAAAUAAUGAUAGCAAAAGGAAAAGUACUUUGGUUUUGCAAGCCAUUCAUGUUUUAUUUUGUUAUUUUAAGGUAACAAACAUAUAUGUUAAUUUGACAUUAAUGCUGCAUAUUUUACAGUGUAUGGAUAAAAAUGAUAUAAAAAAUAAAAAAUAAAUAAACAGAGCAUGAAACAAAAGUGUUAUAAAGUGGAUAGGGGUCUGCAAGGGCAGAAAUAAUUUUUAUGAUAACAGCUCUUUAUAUAUAUUUAUAUAAUAGAGGUCUGAACGGAUAAAAUAUUAUUCUGUGGAUACCGCCCUAAUGCAUGAUAAAAAGUUUGUGUGAGUAAAAGUGGAAAGGAUCCUCAACAGUGAAAAACAAGUGGUGUCAUGUUUUAAAGUGUGAAUGACUGGGUGUAUUUUAUAAAUAGAGUGAGUGCAGGCCUGACUGAGUGCUGUGGAUGAAAGGAGCUAGCAGUGAAGUGAAAUACCGGUUAAUAUAAGUAAAAUAAUAAUAAUGAUAUAUUAUUUAUAUAAUAAAGUAAUAAGAGAUUAUAGGUAAAACUAUAAGUAAAUGGUAUAUAUAGGUUGAAAGGAGGUUUUUACUAAAGGAAAAAAUUGUAUUACUUGACAAAUGAAACAAAUUGAAUUGAAAGAGAAACAUUAAUUAAGUAAGGAACUGCUUGAAAAACAUUUGCAGUGUAGAAAAAGUAAUAUUGGAGAGAAAAUGGUUGACGUUUACUUAGCUUGAAAGUUAACUGGAAUAAAAGUGUUUUUAUUUGUUAAUUUUCUAAUGUUAAAAAGUUAAAAAAUUGCUAAAUAUGAUAGAAAAGAUUGAAUGGAGAAGUAACAGGUGUAGUGAAAAGUCAUAGUUGUUAUUCUUGUGGAAAUAUCUAUUGGGCAGAGAUCUAAUAAAGAAUGUGUCUAAGAAAUUGUCAUGAAGGGAACAUUUGAUGUUGCAAUGUGUAAAGAAAUGGAUAUUGUAAAUAAAUCUAUAGUAAAUCAAAAGAAAGAAAAGAAGGAUGGAUUUGAAGAAAAAAGCAUUGGCAUAAUUAAUGAAUUAAGGGGAACAUAUAUAUGAUAGAAUGUUAAAGGAAGUUGAUAAUGGAACAAAAUAAAGUGUUAAUCUAUAUUUAUCAUGCAUACUGUAGAAGGUUGAUUUCCAAUACUCAAGGGCACUGUGGAAAUUAAAGGUAAAAUGUAAAUGAAAUGAUCGGUAGAUAUAAAAUAGGAAAAUUAAACAGGUUUGGGAGUAAAUCUUACAAAUGAGGAAAGAUACUAAAUGAAAGAAAUUUAAAGUAUUAUCAGAAAGAGUAUAAGAGUGUAGAGUAAAAAGACAAGAGGCAUUGUUACACAAAGAGGUGAAAAAGAGGUAAGAAGAUAUACAUAAGAAAGAAAAAUAAGAAAAACAUUAAAAAGAAUUAAUAAAGUAAAAUAAGGAGAGAGUAGAGAGGGAGAGUAAAAAGGAGGUGUUAUCUGAUGGAGAAAUGUGGAUAUGGGGAAAAAGAUAAAGGUUGGCUUAGGCCAUUGGCCUUACAAUUUCUUAGUUUAAUGAAGGUUUUAAGGACCUUGGGAGGCUGAUCACUUACCCUCAGGCAUUCAUGGGGUUGGGAAAAGGACUAAGUUGUGGCAAUGGAGAAAUGAAAGAAACCUUUGACCGGUGGACUAACGUUACAUGAGGAGGGACUAUUUUUGAACACAUCAUAGCAGUGUGGCAGCCACUGCUUGGACUCUAAAGCACAGAGAGAAAACUGGGAGACACAGAGAAUCCAGUUUUGUUCAGAGACAAUAAAAAAGAGACUGAGGGAAAUCCAGAAGGAGACCCUGGAAUGAUCACACUGUUUUGAAAUGCAAAGUGAAUAACAGUGAUGACUCUUGUGUUCAGCUACUUUCAGCAAUUUCUCCAAAAGCAAACCAGAAUCCUGUACCCAUCAUAAAUGACUUUGCAGCAUCACCAUCCCAGAAAGAAAACAACUUGAACUGGGAGAGACAAAGAAAACAUGCUGAGGACUACAAAAAACCUGGCCACGCCAAGAGAGACUUUCGCUAUAUCCAUGUACCAGCUCUGUGAGUGAAGGGGGGAGGGUGACAGCAGCCUUUCAAAGUCCAGUUUAUGGUCCAGUUGUAAGAUUUGUUAAGAAUAUGAUUCUCUGGACAAGUAUUGCUAAUUCAAUGUAUGUCUAUAAACAAUAAACAAAACCAUGACCAUAUCUAUUCUCAUAUCAAAAUCACACUCCUGUUUACUGGUUAGGAAGAUAUGCAUAAUUUGAAUUAAGCCAUUGGAUUUAGUGUUCUCCAGAAGGGUACAAGUAUAUUAAAGUGAUAUUAACUGAAUCAAAGCAAAUGUAUAUUAGUGUAAUAAAUAGUGAUGUACAACAAACAAUGAAUAAAUUGGAAAAUGUAUUGAAGCACAAAUUUCUAAUGCAAAGUUAUCAAAGUGGGAACUUCAGUGUAUUAUAAUAUGAUCAUGAGAAAGAUAUUCAACUUAAAAAGUGGAAAAAAUAAAAUAUAGGACAAGAAAUUGACAUACCAUCACAGGAAGGUAAAGAAGAAGUAGUUAAGAGUAUGGUUGAAAAUCAGUUAAUAGAAUAAUGACUUAAUGUAACUGAUUUAUUUCCACAGGUCUCUUGUAUACUGGAAAAGAUUGGGAAGAAAAGGAUUUAUGGGAUAUGAUGAAAACAAAAAGCUAUACAAAGCCAGGAGGAUAAAUCCAUUAUGCUUAGGAAUAACAUUAGACUUAUGUGCUAAAGUAAAAAUAAUUUGUAAAUGCAAAGAAUAAAUACAGAUGAUAACAACAUGCAAGAUAAAGAAGAUGUAUUAAUUGUUAAAAGAUGUAGAGAACAAAGUAAUAAAUGAAGUAUCCAAUUAAUGACAUUGUAAGACUAACCAGUUGAUAUCCAGAUCCACAUUGCUAACAAAUGUUUCCCAGAUGACAAAUAUUGUAAUUGAUCUUUGCUUUAUAUAUUUAAGUAUUCAAACAGAAGAAAUAUUUGUAUGUUUUUAUGAAAUUAAACAAUAUACAAUUUGGUAUAGGAACAAAGAGGCUUUCAAAAUAAUGAGGGAAUAUAUAUUCAAUGUACUGGACAAGUGGGGUUAAUUUCUGCUACAAUAUUAUUAAAUUAAUUGGCAAUCAUAAAAGAUUAAACUUAUAUAAAAAUGAAUGAUAAUUUUAUUAAUGGUAACAACACAGCGGAUUUGGAAGCUAAAGAAGCCUCAGAAUGCCAUACAGAAGUAGUGCUUCUAUAGUGUUAAUACAAAAGCCUUACUUAGAAGAUAGAAGGAAAAAAAGAACACGCUGGAUGUUAGGAAUAUUUUGUGGCACCUAAAGGGGGACAAAGAAAGACAUUCAAGACAUCUAAUGUACACAUUGGGGAUAAAUCAUUCUAUUGUACAGUAAAAUGUUACCUUUCCAGAUGGGUGGUUUUAAUUUCAAAUUAAAAACAGGUAUUAAAGAACAAAUUAAAAUUAAAGAUUAAAAAAAAAAAAAAAAAAAAAAA